GGAAGGGCCACCCGAACCGGUGACGGGACCCGCCUGGAGAGCGGGCGAGCGCUGAGCCUUGCGGGUUCGACUCCCGCCCCUUCCG
rnacentral:tRNA from 1 species